CCCCCCUUCGCUUCCCGCCCCAGACGUCACUUCCGGGGGCAGGGCCGCAGCGCUGCGAGCCGCGGGGUGACGGGGCGGCAGCGUGAUGGCGGCCGCGGGGCACCGGCAGCCGCGGCGGCUCGGGGCGCCGGGGGUGCUGCGCCGCACCUAACUCGGCGUCGGGCCCCUGCGCCAUGGCGGGCGGCCGCGGCGGGCGGCUGGCCUGAGGCGGCGGCGCGGCAGCGGAGGGCGCGGCACUGCACUGCCCGGGGGUCCCGCCGCGGGGCCGCGACCCGCGCCGCCGGGCAUGUUGCGCUGGGUCCGCCAGCAGCUGGGUUUUGACCCACCACAUCAAAGUGAUACACGAACUAUUUAUAUAGCAAAUCGUUUUCCCCAGCAUGGCCAUUAUGUUCCUCAGAAAUUUGCAGACAACAGAAUCAUAUCAUCCAAGUAUACAGUGUGGAAUUUUGUUCCAAAAAACUUAUUUGAACAAUUCAGAAGAGUAGCCAACUUUUAUUUUUUGAUUAUAUUUUUGGUUCAGCUCAUGAUCGAUACCCCUACCAGUCCUAUUACCAGUGGAUUGCCGUUAUUCUUUGUCAUAACUGUGACAGCCAUAAAACAGGGUUAUGAAGACUGGCUACGACAUAAAGCAGACAAUGAAGUAAACGGUGCUCCAGUUUAUGUUGUUAGAAGCGGUGGUCUUGUAAAAACUAGAUCUAAAAAUAUUCGGGUGGGUGACAUUGUCAGAGUAGCCAAAGAUGAGACAUUCCCUGUUGAUCUGGUGCUUCUGUCAUCUGAUCGAGUGGACGGUUCGUGUCAUGUUACUACUGCAAGUUUGGAUGGAGAGACCAAUCUUAAGACACAUGUUGCGGUCCCAGAAACAGCAGUGUUACAGUCAGUUGCCAACCUGGACAAACUUGUCGCUGUUAUAGAAUGUCAGCAGCCAGAAGCAGACCUAUACAGAUUUGUUGGAAGAAUAACUAUAAGUCAGCAAAUUGAGGAAAUUGUACGACCUCUUGGGCCUGAAAGUCUCUUACUUCGUGGAGCAAGAUUAAAAAACACUAAAGAAAUAUUUGGUGUUGCAGUGUAUACAGGUAUGGAGACAAAGAUGGCAUUAAAUUACAAGAGUAAAUCUCAGAAACGGUCAGCAGUGGAAAAGUCUAUGAAUUCCUUCUUGAUUAUUUAUCUAAUAAUCCUCCUCUUUGAAGCCAUUCUGAGUACUAUUUUAAAAUAUGCAUGGCAAGCUGAAGAAAAAUGGGAUGAGCCUUGGUAUAAUGAAAAAACGGAGCAUGAAAGAAACAGCAGUAAGAUUCUGAGAUUUAUUUCAGAUUUUCUUGCUUUUCUGGUACUUUACAAUUUUAUCAUACCUAUUUCACUUUAUGUGACUGUUGAGAUGCAGAAAUUUCUUGGAUCUUUUUUUAUUGGCUGGGAUCUUGACCUCUAUCACGAAGAAACAAACCAGAGAGCACAAGUAAAUACUUCAGACCUCAAUGAGGAGUUGGGACAGAUAGAAUACGUGUUUACAGACAAAACCGGUACAUUAACUGAAAAUGAGAUGCAGUUUCGUGAGUGCUCCAUUAAUGGCAUAAAGUACCAAGAGAUCAAUGGGAAACUAACUCCAGAGGGACUGUCUGAAGAUUGUCCAGAUGGAAAUAGGCAUAGUUUGGUGAAAGAGGAAGAGCUCUUCUUGAAAGCAGUUUGUCUUUGUCAUACAGUGCAGAUCAAUGCAGAUCAAACAGAUGGUGCUGAUGGUCCCUGGCAUGCCAGUGGAAUAGCAUCCCCAUUGGAAUAUUAUGCUUCUUCACCCGAUGAGAAAGCUUUAGUUGAAGCUGCAAGCCGUGUUGGAGUAGUCUUCACUGGAACUAGUGGGGACACUAUGGAAGUAAAAAGUCUUGGAAAACCAGAAAGGUAUAAAUUGCUUCAUGUUUUGGAGUUUGAUCCGAAUCGCAGACGAAUGAGUGUCAUUGUAGAGAGUCCUUCAGGGGAAAAGCUUUUAUUCACAAAGGGAGCAGAAUCUUCUAUUCUUCCUCGUAGUAAGAGUGGAGAAAUAGAUAAAACAAGGAUACAUGUGGAUGAAUUUGCCUUGAAAGGACUAAGAACUUUGUGCGUAGCCUACAGAAGAUUCACACCUGAGGAGUAUCAAGAAAUUGGCAAACGCCUUCAUGAGGCCAGGACUGCCUUACAGCAACGGGAAGAAAAAUUAGCAGAUGUAUUCAACUUCAUAGAGAGGGAUCUGGAAUUGCUUGGGGCUACAGGAGUAGAAGACAAACUGCAGGAGAAAGUCCAAGAAACUAUAGAAGCCCUCAGGUUGGCUGGUAUCAAAGUGUGGGUACUCACUGGAGAUAAGCAUGAAACUGCUGUUAGUGUCAGUUUGUCGUGUGGACACUUUCACAGAACCAUGAACAUCCUUGAACUUGUGCAGCACAAAUCAGACAGUACAUGCGCAGAGCAACUGAGGCAGCUAGCCAAGAGAAUAAAGGAAGACCAUGUUAUCCAGCAUGGACUGGUUGUGGAUGGGACCAGCCUCUCUCUCGCACUCAGGGAACAUGAAAAAAUGUUCAUGGAUGUUUGUAAAAACUGUUCUGCAGUGUUGUGUUGUCGCAUGGCACCUCUUCAGAAAGCAAAGGUAGUGCGACUGUUAAAAACCUCUCCAGAGAAACCUAUAACAUUAGCGAUUGGUGAUGGUGCUAAUGAUGUGAGCAUGAUACAAGAAGCACAUGUUGGCAUAGGAAUCAUGGGUAAGGAAGGAAGACAAGCUGUAAGAAACAGUGACUAUGCAAUAGCACGGUUUAAAUUCCUCUCCAAGUUGCUUUUUGUUCAUGGCCACUUUUACUAUAUUAGAAUAGCAACCCUUGUACAGUACUUUUUUUAUAAGAAUGUGUGCUUUAUUACACCACAAUUUUUAUAUCAGUUCUUCUGUUUGUUUUCACAACAAACACUCUAUGACAGUGUAUACCUGACUUUGUACAAUAUUUGUUUCACUUCCUUGCCUGUCCUCAUCUACAGUCUUUUUGAACAGCAUGUGCAUCCGCAUGUAUUACAGAGUAAACCUGUGCUCUAUCGAGACAUCAGUAAAAAUGCCCAUCUGGGGUUUAAACCAUUUCUUUACUGGACCGUCUUGGGCUUCUUUCAUGCAUUUGUUUUCUUUUAUGGCUCAUAUCUUCUAAUGGGAGAAGACACUUCUCUGCUGGGAAAUGGCCAGAUGUUUGGAAACUGGACAUUUGGUACUUUGGUCUUCACCAUCAUGGUUAUAACUGUUACAAUGAAGAUGGCACUAGAAACUCACUUCUGGACAUGGAUAAACCAUUUUGUUACUUGGGGAUCCAUUGUAUUUUAUUUCAUAUUCUCCUUGUUUUAUGGGGGAAUUAUCUGGCCAUUUUUACAUACCCAGGACAUGUACUUUGUAUUUGUUCAACUGUUGUCAAGUGGUUCUGCUUGGUUUGCCAUAAUAAUCAUAGUAGUUGCUUGUUUGUUUCUUGAUGUGGUGAAGAAAGUGCUGUACAGACAUCUACAACCAACAAGUACAGAAAAAGCUCAGAUGUACUCCAACAGAGUUGCUUUAAGUGACGAGUUCAUCGCACUGCAGCCAUUGUCCAGGGCCAGGAAUCAGCUGAGCAAAAUUAGCUUACUGAGACAGGUUCAGGUAUCAACUGCUUGGACUCCAUGUGCUGCUUCUCAGAUGGGGAAACAGCAUGCACACCUCUUAGAAGAAUGCUGGAACGACUAAUGGGAAGAUGUAGUCCAACCCGGGUCAACAGAUCAUGGAGUUCAUCGGAUCCCUUCUAUGCCAACGACAGAAGCUUCUUGACUCUCUCCACAAUGGACUCACCCACUUGUUAACAGGGACAUUUCUAAAUGCCUUGUGGAAGCCAUGUGGUGCUCACAUACCUAUAGCAGGUUUUGAAGUGAGUUCAGUGCUAUAUCCCUGCCCUAGAAAAGACUAGCAUGACCUUAACUUCUAAAUACACGCUGUGGUUUGUCUUGUGGCCUAGCAUAACGUUCAUCUGGACAGUAAUUGCUUCCAGUAAUUUUUCUAAUCAUAUCCCCAAGUUGCUAAAUAAUUUUUAAUAAGCAAUGCUUUUACCUCUAUGCUUUUACCUCUGACCACUUAAUCUCUCUUGCUACCACAUUAACAGAUUGGAAUCCUGCAUUUGAUACUUCAAAUGUCACUAUGACAUAGUGGCAGAAUCUUUGUCCUCCCAAAUCCGAGUGAUCUAAUAGAACUGAAUAUACACAGUGAAAAUACAGUAAGCUACAUUUUUCAUGAUGAUCCUUCACUUCACAUACACACGUUCAUUUUGAGCUGUCUUUCACAGUUGCUGUCUUAGUAGUUUGCAAAUCAGUCUUGUUUUUUCCCAUGGACAGUUACUAUAUUCUGCAAGCAAUGAGUUUAGCAGUUUUUGAGAGCAAAAUGCAAUUCAAAUAUUUAUGCUGGUUAAUGAAUGGCAGUAUGGUUUUCGUCACUUUGAAAAAGACUAUUAACUUCCAAAACAAUAAUUUGGAACAACAGGGGAAAUAACGGUUCGCUGUUCUCUUUAGAACCCAGUCAUUUUCCAUUAUGCCCUGGUGUUUUGUUAACAAUUAUUGAUCCUGACAUGGGAAAAUGGGAAAGAAGAAUGUGAAGUUGAUUGUGCAGGUGUCUCACUAGCAUAAAAUUUUUGAAUAAUUAAUCCUUUUACAGUUGGGGAAUUUUUGCAUGUUUUAUUCUUUCUAAUGUAUUUAUAUUUGGUCAUGUUGUACUUUGAAGAUAUAAUUAAUGCUUAAUUAUCUUCAUAUAUCAGAAGGAUCUGACACACUGAUGGCAAUGUUUUGAUACCUAAGUAUGCCAAUAAAAACAAGUUGCACAGGUGCAGCUUUGAAUGUGUUUGUAAGGUUACCGAAGAAACACGCAUUUAAACAGUUCAGGAAGAACUUAAGAAUCCAUCUGUCUGCUAAGGUAUAUUUUUCUAUUUGCAGUAAAUCUAAAUCAGUAAUUUCUCAUUUAAUAAGAAUGUAGAAUUGGUUUCCAUAAGACCAGAUUUUUGGUCUGACAAAUAAUGUAGAUGGGAAAAGUGACUGUGUUUUGUUAAUGUCACAAAUCAUUUAAAAUAGCUUUUACUCAAGGAAGGAAGCUUUUGUGUACUUUGCUAAAGCGUAUGAAACAUUCACCAUACGUUGGGUACGGUAUAGAGUUCUACACAAAGAUGACAAUAUAUCUAAUUUAGUUUAACAGUAGCAUUAAUCUCUUUGAUUUAGAGUGAAUGGGUGAGGAAGAAUUUGCCACACAGAGGAAAUGUUUUAGAAUUCCCUCUUAGCCUUGAAGUGUGUGGAGGAUUCCAAGAAGCGUUUCCUGUACGGCGGAAAAGCCUACGGUAGACAACCUUAGCUCGCUAACGCAAGGAUGGUGUUUAGUCAGCCUUUACUAUGCAGUGUCUCUGUGAGAGCACCUUCUCCACAGCCACCUUCAGAAUAGGAUUGAAUCCUCAGCUGAUCUUAGUUCCUGUUUUAUGAAAAAUGGAGUUUGAUAUUCGUUGUUUUGAAAACCAUAGUUUCAGUUGCCAAAUGCGUGCUUUUUUUAAGGUGCAGUGGAGAAGAUGAGAAACAGGUGGGAAAGUGUUCUGAAUUGUUUCGCAAACUAAAAUGUAUAUAUUCUGCUUAAAAUGUCCUGUAUAUUUUUUAAGAUUAUAAGGGGGAGGGGGGCAAAAAUGCGAAGGAAGGAAUGCCGAAAACUUUGGCAUUACAUUUUCAGAACGAUUUAUGGUUUUUUGUGCAAAAGGUUAUUUGAGAAAAGAUUAUGCAACCUAGAAUGCAUAUUAAGCAACUAUAAUUUCUUACUGGAAACAUUUGGUAAUACUUUCAAACAAUUUUUUAAUGAUAGGAUAACUUCUAUAUUGGAAAAAUCUCAUUUUCUAGUGUUAGAAAUGUUUCAAAGCUGUUGAAUCAGUAGUCUACGUUAAUUUUAAUUGUUUUAUCUGACACUUCCUAUACUUCUAAAUAACACAGCAGUAUUGGUGAAAUUCAGUAUUCAAAAGUGCUUAAUCCAUAUGCUUCUGAACCAUUUAUUUUGAGAAUGUCUUGGUUUUUUGGUGUAGAAUACCCAAUAGCUCUGUGACCAUCAUAAAUGUGCAAUUACUGCUGCAUUAUUUUACAGUCAUUAUUGUUUCAACUUACAUUCCUAGAGCUGGGCGAACCAUUCAUCAUGGAAACACAGACUGAUUUGAGCCUUUUUUCUGUUCCUGUUAUCUCCCCGUUAGACUUUUCUUUUUUGCAGAAACUCGUUCUUUGCAAAACCUGUUUUUUUUCUGCAGAUGUUUUUAUUGUUGGUUGUUUUGUAUGUUCUUUGUUUCUAUUGUUUGCUUUCAGUGGCAUGAUUUGUCUGGUUUCUGCUCCCUGUUUCAAUGACCUAAUUUAUAAGCAGGAGGAAAGAAUGGAUGCUCGUGGCUGUAUCAACUCUUGCCAUUGAUCGUCUUAGAAACACAUUUGCACCUGUAUUUGCAGAGCUUCUGCUUUCCACAGAUUUUUCAGAUUUUUCCUUCAGCUAAAUACUGCUCAUGGAGAUGUCAAAAAUAACUCAAUAGAGAGACCUCGUGUGCUGUCCAAAGCUUCUGUGGCUUUCGUUAAAAUGAAUGUUCUCAUCUCUCUGAAGUAUUCGCCUUGCUCUAGCUGUUGCCACGCUAUGAUGUGGUUUUACAAUAAGUAUAUACAAUUGUCAUCACUGUAGAUCCAAUUUUUUAUUGUUGUUUCCAGGAUGUAUAAAUGCAUGGACAUGAAUAAAACCUGAGGGGCCAUGGGCAAAAGACCUCUAUAUAUAACAUGAAGCAGUAUGAGGGACCGCACUAUGAAAAACAAUGCAGUUUACAACAUAAAGUGUGAUUUGCCUGAAAGAACCCCUAAAAUAUAUCUAUAUGUGUAGUGACAUAUAUUAUGUUGUUUCUCAACAGUUUUAAAGGGAGUUACUUCAUAUAUCAUCGGAGUCCAGUCAUUCAUACCUUUCUUGCAUUGGCACUGGGGUGAAAGAUAAUGCAUGGGGCAUAUAGCUCAGAAAGGGAAAAACGCUUAAAAAUUAGGCUCACUUUCAGGUAUAACUAAGAGGUUAUUACUACACCAAAGAGUAUAUUUUUGAGAUUCCCAAUUAUGGUCCUGCUAGAGUUCUCAGUUCUUUUGUACAUUUAAGAAUAAAUCAUCUAGACUUUUAAUCACUGAAAUAUGAUCAAGUUCUGCUUGUUCUUACUGAAGAGAAAACUUGAGUGAUAUCUGUGCAAGAAGCACUGGAUGGUACCUUUUUAGUGAUGUUGAUCUAACUCCUUAAUUUUAGGCAAAUAAGGGGCAUUGACAACUGGAAACUGUAGCAAUAAUUAGUAGAAAGAAUUUUGGACCUCUGACACUGUGGCUGCCUCAUGUUCUUUUUAGACUUCCUGACGGCGAGUCAGGAUGCUUGCUCAUUGUACAGCUCUGUCAGUCAAUGUUGUUUUGAAAAAGUUUAUGGAAAUUAUAUUUAUUAAAUAAAACUUCCACUUCUA